CAGCCGCCGCGGGAAUACAGAGGGUGCAAGCGUUAAUCGGAAUUACUGGGCGUAAAGCGCGCGUAGGUGGUUCGCCAAGUUGGAUGUGAAAUCCCCGGGCUCAACCCCGGAACUGCCUUUGAAACUAGGUGACUAGAAUCUUGGAGAGGUCAGUGGAAUUCCGAGUGUAGAGGUGAAAUUCGUAGAUAUUCGGAAGAACACCAGUGGCGAAGGCGACUGACUGGACAAGUAUUGACGCUGAGGUGCGAAAGCGUGGGGAGCAAACAGGAUUAGAUACCCCCGUAGUCCCUGUCUCUUAUAC
rnacentral:rRNA from 1 species